rnacentral:rRNA from 1 species
UUGAUAGAUGGCGACCGGCGCACGGGUGAGUAACGGCGUAUCCAAACCUUCCCCUAUAGUAGAGAAUAGCCCGGCGAAAGGUCGGAUUAAUGCUCUAUGUUGUAUUUAGAAGACAUCUGAAGAAUACCAAAGGUUUACCGCUAUAGGAUGGGGAUGCGUCUGAUUAGGUAGUAGGCGGGGUAACGGCCCACCUAGCCGACGAUCAGUAGGGGUUCUGAGAGGAAGGUCCCCCACAUUGGAACUGAGACACGGUCCAAACUCCGUACGGGAGGCAGCAGUGAGGAAUAUUGGUCAAUGGACGAAAGUCUGAACCAGCCAAGUAGGCCGUGCAGGAUGACGGCCCUAUGGGUUGUAAACUGCUUUUAUAUAGGGAUAAAGUCGGGGACGUGUCCCCGUUUGUAGGUACUAUAUGAAUAAGGACCGGCUAGUUCCGUGCCAGCAGCGGC